GAUGAACGCUGACAGAAUGCUUAACACAUGCAAGUCGAUGGGGAAGUGGUGCUUGCACCAUGGCAACCAUGGCGGACGGGUGAGUAACGCGUAAGGGACUUACCUGCAGGACUGGGAUAACAGGGGGAAACUCCUGACAAGACCGGAUAAUGUCAUGGAGCUGCAUGGCUUUAUGAUGAAAGGAGACGCCUGCGGAGAGCCUUGCGUCCUAUUAGCUAGUUGGUGAGGUAAUGGCUCACCAAGGCGAAGAUAGGUAGCCGGCCUGAGAGGGUGGACGGCCACCAGGGGACUGAGAUGCGACCCUUACGACUACGGGAGGAAGCAGUGGGGAAUAUUGGACAAUGGGGGCAACACUGAUCAAGCAAUUAUGUGUGGACGAAGAAGGUUUUCGGAUUGUAAAGUGCUUUCAGCAGGGAAGAAGUAAGUGACGGUACCUGCAGAAGAAGCGACGGCUAAAUACGUG
rnacentral:rRNA from 1 species